rnacentral:tRNA from 1 species
CAGAGUGAAGCUAAACUAGUAAAGCAUCUCCCUUACACCGAGAAGUAGCCUGUGCGAGUCAGGCCGCCCUGA